rnacentral:misc_RNA from 1 species
UUUCCGUAGGUGAACCUGCGGAAGGAUCAUUACAGAGUUCAUGCCCUCACGGGUAGAUCUCCCACCCUUGAAUAUUUAUACCUUAGUUGCUUUGGCAGGCCGUGGAAACACCAUGGGCUCCGGCUUAUGCGUGCCUGCCAGAGGAAACAAACUGUGUUUUUAGUGAUGUCUGAGUACUAUAUAAUAGUUAAAACUUUCAACAACGGAUCUCUUGGUUCUG